UACCAGCACCCCGAGUGGUCGGGACGAUUAUUGGGCCUAAAGCAUCCGUAGCCUGUUCUACAAGUCCUCCGUUAAAUCCACCUGCUCAACAGAUGGGCUGCGGGGGAUACUAUAGGGCUAGGAGGCGGGAGAGGCAAACGGUACUCAGUGGGUAGGGGUAAAAUCCUUUGAUCCAUUGAAGACCACCAGUGGCGAAGGCGGCUUGCCAGAACGCGCUCGACGGUGAGGGAUGAAAGCUGGGGGGAGCAAACCAGG
rnacentral:rRNA from 1 species